GCAGAGCACUCCUCGGGAGGCAGCAGUGGGGAAUAUGCACAAUGGGCGCAAGCCUGAUGCAGCCAUGCCGCGUGUAUGAAGAAGGCCUUCGGGUUGUAAAGUACUUUCAGCAGUGAGGAAGGUGGGUAUGUUAAUAGCAUAUUCAUUUGACGUUAGCUGCAGAAGAAGCACCGGCUAACUCCGUGCCAGCAGCCGCGGUAAUACGGAGGGUGCGAGCGUUAAUCGGAAUUACUGGGCGUAAAGCGCAUGCAGGUGGUUUGUUAAGUCAGAUGUGAAAGCCCGGGGCUCAACCUCGGAAUUGCAUUUGAAACUGGCAAACUAGAGUACUGUAGAGGGGGUAGAAUUUCAGGUGUAGCGGUGAAAUGCGUAGAGAUCUGAAGGAAUACCGGUGGCGAAGGCGGCCCCCUGGACAGAUACUGACACUCAGAUGCGAAAGCGUGGGGAGCAAACAGGAUUAGAUACCCUGGUAG
rnacentral:rRNA from 1 species